CAUGGUGCAGGGGUAAAAACUCCGGUGGUAUGAGAUGGACCCGCGUCUGAUUAGGUAGUUGGUGGGGUAACGGCCUACCAAGCCGACGAUCAGUAGCCGACCUGAGAGGGUGACCGGCCACAUUGGGACUGAGACACGGCCCAAACUCCUACGGGAGGCAGCAGUGGGGAAUAUUGCACAAUGGGGGAAACCCUGAUGCAGCGACGCCGCGUGAGCGAUGAAGUAUUUCGGUAUGUAAAGCUCUAUCAGCAGGGAAGAAAAUGACGGUACCUGACUAAGAAGCACCGGCUAAAUACGUGCCAGCAGCCGCGGUAAUACGUAUGGUGCAAGCGUUAUCCGGAUUUACUGGGUGUAAAGGGAGCGUAGACGGAGUGGCAAGUCUGAUGUGAAAACCCGGGGCUCAACCCCGGGACUGCAUUGGAAACUGUCAAUCUAGAGUACCGGAGAGGUAAGCGGAAUUCCUAGUGUAGCGGUGAAAUGCGUAGAUAUUAGGAGGAACACCAGUGGCGAAGGCGGCUUACUGGACGGUAACUGACGUUGAGGCUCGAAAGCGUGGGGAGCAAACAGGAUUAGAUACCCUGGUAGUCCACGCCGUAAACGAUGACUACGAGGUGUCGGGCAGCAAAGCUGUUCGGUGCCGCAG
rnacentral:rRNA from 1 species